rnacentral:rRNA from 1 species
GCCAGACUCCUACGGGAGGCAGCAGUGGGGAAUAUUGGGCAAUGGGCGCAAGCCUGACCCAGCAACGCCGCGUGAAGGAAGAAGGCUUUCGGGUUGUAAACUUCUUUUCUGAGGGACGAAGGAAGUGACGGUACCUCAGGAAUAAGCCACGGCUAACUACGUGCCAGCAGCCGCGGUAAUACGUAGGUGGCAAGCGUUAUCCGGAUUUAUUGGGUGUAAAGGGCGUGUAGGCGGGAAUGCAAGUCAGAUGUGAAAGCUGUGGGCUCAACCCAUAGCCUGCAUUUGAAACUGUAUUUCUUGAGUGCUGGAGAGGCAAGCGGAAUUCCGUGUGUAGCGGUGAAAUGCGUAGAUAUACGGAGGAACACCAGUGGCGAAGGCGGAUUGCUGGACAGUAACUGACGCUGAGGCGCGAAAGCGUGGGGAGCAAACAGGAUUAGAUACCCGUGUA